AUGCUGUAAACCUUGGGAGUUAAUGCUGUAAACCCUGGAGUGAAGAGUAGCCCUCCUCUGUCAGAGUUAGUCUCUUCAUUCAGAGUUGUGUAGUGGCAUCUUGCUCUGCCAGUGGACUUGGGGUGGUGGCCACACCUUAGGGUGUGGUUUCAUCGAAUGUGGACGUGACCUUAUAAGGAAGAGCAGGGGUUGACUGGUGGUGUGCUCUUGGGUUGUGGUGGAUGCAUCCUGAAGGGCAGAGGCUGCAUCUCCAGGAGCAGGAAGACCACGUGGUUAUUCACCAUCAUUGUAUCAAGAUACAGAACUCUUAGUUCAUUCUCCAGGACCAAGUCUGCCUGAAGGCCACCAUGUUCCACUAUGAUGAUAAUGGACUAAACCUUUGAACUUGCCCACAUUGUCCUCAGGGACCCAGUCCCACAUUCUAAGCUUGUGCCUUCCAUCUCCAAAUUCAUCUCACAGUUGGCAGGAUGGCUCAGUAGGUAAGGACACUUGCUGCCACGAUUGAUGCCCUGAAUUAGUGCCUUGGAGUUCGUAUGGUAGAAGAAGAGAGCGGACUUCCACAAGUUGUCACCUGUGCACCACGGCAAUGCCUUCCCCAGAUUCAUCUCAAGCUCCAAGACAGCCACUGAAGUGCUAGUCUUCACAGACUCACUCCGAGGAGCAGGGAGGAAAUGUGAGGUGAUGGCAAAAAGGGACAUUUCAUUGUCCAAACUUAAUAAGCUUUUAUCUAAUAGCAAAGAAGCCAGGGAAGAUUGUCUUUGGGCUGAAUAUGUGGGUGACCUGAAUAAAACGAGGCUCCUCUUA